UUCCACACUUUAUAUCCUCGGCUUGGCUUUAUCGCCCCCUACAAAGACCUAGCCAAGGGCAUGUUUCUGAGAAAUGACCUGAGAAGACAGAGACGGACUGCAGUGGCCCCUAUAACCCUCCCAGGGGGCCACCCUCCCUGUGUUUUAUCUCCUUCCAGUGGCAGCACCCAGUGCCCAACAUGCAGGAGCUGGAUCCCAGAGAUGAAGAAACAGACUUAAAGAAGGGAAGUGACUUGGCAAAGCCACAUGGAUUAAAAGGGUUGAAGCCAAGAACAAAAGCUUGGAAGUCAGAGGAGUCUGCUCCCUCCACUGUAUUGGGUUCUCUAUCUACAAGCAGAGGAGCCUGAAGAAGGAAUGAGUUGAUUGGAAAGUAAUAUGUUCCCUGUUAUUGAAGGUGACCACCUGUCAAUGAUUCCAUGGAAAAGACUCAAGAAAAACAAAUUGGUAGAUCUUUGGAGUUAGGAUCUUAGACUCUAAAAUCAUACGCCACUUCAGUAACUCAUUGGCUGAGAUUUGCUUGUUUGUUUAUUUCCUUUUUGCUGUUUUAUAGACCUACUGUAGUCUAAGUGUUUGUCAUAGGGCCAGGUCCCUGUAAUGCAUGCCCAAGAAAUGACUUGGCUCUUAAAAAGGACUACAGUCAUCUGUGAUGGCCCCAAAUGUCCUCCCAGUCCUCAGAUGCACAGGCAGUUACUUGUCUCUCACUCAUCACACAUGGGGCAAGACUUCCUUCCCCCAUCCUUGAGAUUUCUUACAAUCAGCUUUGGCUUUAAGUCUCUGUCCCCAGACACUUGCCAACCCCCAAGAGCUCAUCUUUCAGUCCCAAACUUGGUAUGGAGGAAUUCCAUGCUGGGUGAAAGCUAGGAUUGCCAAAAAGCACAGAAGAGGAACACCCAUGGAAGUUGCAGAGGUCUUGCUUCUUGGAAAAGAAAGAGCAUAACUUUGGAUUUAAAUCUGGCAUCUCUCACUGCUUGAUGGAGUACUUUAGUAAGUCUCUUAAUAUCUUUCAGCCUCAGUUCAAAGACCAUUGAGUGAUAUUAUCAACACCUCACAAAGCUAUGCAAAAUCUAGAAGGCCACACACAUACAUAUGACAUUGUACCUGCUUAGGGCUGUAUAAAUGCUCAGAAAGACUUGAAAAGACCCUAAGCUCUCACCUCUGACUAAAUUUGAGGCACUGAGCAAACAGGAAGUGAAAGCUAAGGCAGAGUAGGUUUUUUAUUUUUUGAGAUGGAGUCUUGCUCUGUCACCCAGGCUGGAGUGCAGUGGCGUGAUCUCGGCUCACUGCAAGCUCCGCCUCCCAGGUUCAAAGAGUCUCCUGCCUCAGCAUCUGGAGUAGCUGGAAUUAUAGGCACCUGCCACCACGCCUGGCUAAUUUUUUUUUUUUUUUGUAUUUUUAUUAAAGAUGAGGUUUCACUAUGUUGGCCAGUCUGGUCUCAAACUCCUAACCACAAGUGAUCCACCCACCUUGGCCUACCAAAGUGCUGGGAUUACAGGUGUGAGCCACCACGUCCAGCCCACUAGGGCAGAGUUGUAAACAGCCCUUCUGUUGUUGAAAGUGAGCCCCAACACACAGAGCUCCCUGGCAAAGACUGAAAGACUUACUGGCCCCAAGUGUCUGAGGAAAUUUCUAUCCAGUCACUAGCUAAACACUAAGCUGAUAAGAGAUUUCAGUGGCCACAUGUGACAAAAAAUGCAGACUUUACAGAAUUAUCUUGUAAAAGUCAUUAAACCUGAACAUAAAAGCAAAUAAAAUGCAACAACAAAAUUUGCAUGGAGAAUCUGCUUUUCAGGAUUGCCAUAUUAUAUUAUUUAAAAUGUCCAGCUUCCCUAUCAUCAGAGUGAACAGGCAACCUACAGAAUGGGAGAAAAUUUUUGCAAUCUAUCCAUCUGACAAAGGGCUAAUAUCCAGAAUCUACAGAGAACUUAAACAAAUUUACAAGAAAAAUACGAACAACCCCAUCAAAAUGUGGGCAAAGGAUAUGAACAGACACUUCACAAAGAAGACAUUUAUGUGGCCAACAAACUUAAGCAAAAAGCUCAUCAUCUCUGCUCAUUAGAGAAAUGCAAAUCAAAACCACAAUGAGAUACCAUCUCACACCAGUUAGAAAGGCAAUCAUUAAAAAGCCAGGAAACAACAGAUGCUGGAGAGGAUGCGGAGAAAUAGAAACGCUUUUACACUGUUGCUGGAAGUGUAAAUUAGUUCAACCAUUGUAGAAGAUAGUGUGGUGAUUCCUCAAGGAUCUAGAACCAGAAAUACCAUUUGACCCAGCAAUCCUAUUGGGUAUACACCCAAAGGAUUAUUAAUCAUUCUACUAUAAAGACACAUGCGCACAUAUGUUUAUUG
rnacentral:lncRNA from 1 species